rnacentral:rRNA from 1 species
CCUACGGGAGGCAGCAGUGGGGAAUAUUGCACAAUGGGGGAAACCCUGAUGCAGCGACGCCGCGUGAGUGAAGAAGUAUUUCGGUAUGUAAAGCUCUAUCAGCAGGGAAGAAAAAAGACGAUACCUGACUAAGAAGCCCCGGCUAACUACGUACCAGCAGCCGCGGUAAUACGUAGGGGGCAAGCGUUAUCCGGAUUUACUGGGUGUAAAGGGAGCGUAGACGGCGCGGCAAGUCUGAGGUGAAAGGGAGGGGCUUAACCCCUGAACUGCAUUUGAAACUGCCAUGCUAGAGUGCUGGAGAGGUAGGUGGAAUUCGUAGUGUAGCGGUGAAAUGCGUAGAUAUUAGGAAGAACACCAGUGGCGAAGGCAGCUUACUGGACAGUAACUGACAUUGAGGCUCGAAAGCGUGGGGAGCAAACAGGAUUAGAUACCCCUGUAGUC